rnacentral:rRNA from 1 species
UAGGGAAUCUUCGGCAAUGGACGAAAGUCUGACCGAGCAACGCCGCGUGAGUGAAGAAGGUUUUCGGAUCGUAAAACUCUGUUGUUUGAGAAGAACAAGGACGUUAGUAACUGAACGUCCCCUGACGGUAUCUAACCAGAAAGCCACGGCUAACUACGUGCCAGCAGCCGCGGUAAUACGUAGGUGGCAAGCGUUGUCCGGAUUUAUUGGGCGUAAAGCGAGCGCAGGCGGUUUCUUAAGUCUGAUUUAAAAGCCCCCGGCUCAACCGGGGAGGGUCAUUGGAAACUGGGGGGCUUGAGUGCAGAAGAGGAUCGUGGGAUUCCAUGUGUAGCGGUGAAAUGCGUAGAUAUAUGCAGGAACCCCAGUAGCGAAGGCGGCUCUCUGGUCUGUAACUGACGCUGCGGCUCACAAGCGUGGGGAGCAAACAGG